AGUGAACGCUGGCGGUAGGCCUAACACAUGCAAGUCGAACGGCAGCACAGUAAGAGCUUGCUCUUACGGGUGGCGAGUGGCGGACGGGUGAGGAAUACAUCGGAAUCUACUUUUUCGUGGGGGAUAACGUAGGGAAACUUACGCUAAUACCGCAUACGACCUACGGGUGAAAGCAGGGGAUCUUCGGACCUUGCGCGAUUGAAUGAGCCGAUGUCGGAUUAGCUAGUUGGCGGGGUAAAGGCCCACCAAGGCGACGAUCCGUAGCUGGUCUGAGAGGAUGAUCAGCCACACUGGAACUGAGACACGGUCCAGACUCCUACGGGAGGCAGCAGUGGGGAAUAUUAGACAAUGGGCGCAAGCCUGAUCCAGACAUACCGCGUGGGUGAAGAAGGCCUUCGGGUUGUAAAGCCCUUUUGUUGGGGAAGAAAAGCAGCAGGUUAAUACCCCGCUGUUCUGACGGUACCCAAAGAAUAAGCACCGGCUAACUUCGUG
rnacentral:rRNA from 1 species